GUUUGGUAUAAAAGUUUGAUAUAUGCAUAUGUUCUGAAAUAAGACAUAUGGAAGUACGUGCAGAAAACAGGCAUUUUAUAAAAAUAUAUUUUUUAAUGAUAUUUAUUCAAUAUCGUUUUAAAAUUGACGUUUUAUUUAUCCUCAUAUACAUAUGUUGUAUUUAUAAUAAAAUUUUGUUAAACGCAAAGUAUCAUUUAUUAUAUACAUACAUUGACUUUACAUUUUAGAUGAUUAACUUUGAUAAUGUUAAAGAAACGAAAACUUAAUAUAGAAACUGUAUAGUUUGUAAUUGUCAAAUUUGGAUCAUAAUGUUAAUCGUUGUAUUACGUUUUAAAAUCAAGGAAAUGACUAAACAAUACUAGUUUGAUCAUCGAAUGAAAACCUGAUAAAUAAAGAUUUAUACAUUUUGUGUGUAUGAUGUAACAAAGUAAAAAAAAUAUAAUAGUACCUUGGUAGCGAAUUGAAAGUUGAUUUAAUAAACGCGCAAGAUAUGUGAAUCUUAUUGUACAAGUGUAGUGUUUAUUAAAACCCACCAUCGUGAAGGUUACUUAUCAUAUCGAAUAAUCAAAUCUUUUUUAUAUUGCAAAAAUGUGGUUUUAUUUCUUGCUUGCUAUUUUUACGACAUUUAAUUUUGCGAUGGCCUCGUCCAGCUUUGAUUUUGGAGAUACCUUAGCAUUGAUCAUUGGAUUGAUUAUUGGAAUCAUUGGAUUUUUUGCCUGUAUGGGUGCUUACGCACGGCAUCGAAAUCGUAUGGAAGCAAUAGCAUAAUUAUUAUAAGCACUUCACAACUCCAUUAAUCGCUAUUCAAUACAUAUAAAAUUAAUGAAGAAAAUGCCUGAAGUGACUGUUUUGAAUAUGUUUGAUAAUAUAAAAUUUAUAUAAAGAUUGCUUCAAAACUAACAGAAAUUAAAAGUUUUUUAUCAUGAAAUUUCUAUAAUUUAAUCAAUAUAAAUAUAAGUUAACAUCUUUGUUGCCACAAACUAUUUUUAUAUCUACUAUACUAUUAUUGUAAGAUAAUUAUUAAACAAAUGUAAAUAAAAAUGGUAAUGAUAUGUAGAUAUCAUGAUUGAAACAAU